rnacentral:rRNA from 1 species
AACGAACGCUGGCGGCAUGCCUAACACAUGCAAGUCGAACGAGACCUUCGGGUCUAUUGGCGCACGGGUGCGUAACGCGUGGGAACCUGCCCUUAGGUUCGGAAUAACUCCCCGAAAGGGGUGCUAAUACCGGAUAAUGUCUUCGGACCAAAGAUUUAUCGCCUUUGGAUGGGCCCGCGUUGGAUUAGCUAGUUGGUAGGGUAAAAGCCUACCAAGGCGACGAUCCAUAGCUGGUCUGAGAGGAUGAUCAGCCACACUGGGACUGAGACACGGCCCAGACUCCUACGGGAAGCAGCAGUGGGGAAUAUUGGACAAUGGGCGAAAGCCUGAUCCAGCAAUGCCGCGUGAGUGAUGAAGGCCUUAGGGUUGUAAAGCUCUUUUAACCGGGAUGAUAAUGACAGUACCGGGAGAAUAAGCGCCGGCUAACUCCGUG